rnacentral:misc_RNA from 1 species
UUUCCGUAGGUGAACCUGCGGAAGGAUCAUUACCGAGUGAGGGUCUCACACGUCCGACCUCCCACACUGUGGUUUUGUGACCUAGUUGCUUUCGCGGUCCCGCCUCGGUGAGAUGCCGCGGGAAGCCCACCGCUUUGCGCAUGUGCCCCUCAGUAGCCCCCUGAAAUUCUUAAUACCCCUGUCGUCUGAGUUUAUGGAGAUAAAGAAAAAAAACUUUCAACAACUGAUCUCUUGGUUCUCGCUUCGAUCAAGAACCCAGCAGAUCGGCAGAGCACACGU